AGAGUUUGAUCCUGGCUCAGGACGAACGCUGGCGGUGUGCUUCACACAUGCAAGUCGAACGGAGUAGCAAUACUUAGUGGCGGACGGGUGAGUAACGCGUGGGAAUCUGCCCAAGGGUGGGGGAUAACUAGCCGAAAGGUUAGCUAAUACCGCAUAUGCCGUGAGGUAAAAGGAGCAAUCCACCUGAAGAUGAGCCUGCGUCCGAUUAGCUAGUUGGUAGGGUAAAAGCCUACCAAGGCGACGAUCGGUAGCUGGUCUGAGAGGAUGAUCAGCCACAAUGGAACUGAGACACGGUCCAUACUCCUACGGGAGGCAGCAGUGGGGAAUUUUACGCAAUGGGCGAAAGCCUGACGUAGCGACACCGCGUGAGCGACGAAGCCCUUUGGGGUGUAAAGCUCUGUCGGCUGGAACGAAAAAAAUGACGGUACCAGCAAAGGAAGCAUCGGCUAACUACGUGCCAGCAGCCGCGGUAAGACGUAGGAUGCAAGCAUUGUCCGGAUUUAUUGGGCGUAAAGAGUUCGUAGGUGGUUUGUUAAGUCUGAUGUUAAAGACCGGAGCUCAACUUCGGAACUGCAUUGGAUACUGGCAGACUAGAGUAUGGUAGAGGCAAGCGGAAUUCCCAGUGUAGCGGUGAAAUGCGUAGA
rnacentral:rRNA from 1 species